rnacentral:rRNA from 1 species
AUUCCAAAACAUAGCUUAUUGAUUUUUUAUAAUAAGUUUUUUCUGCCCGGUGGUGUUUUUAACGGCCGCGGUAUUUUGACCGUGCAAAGGUAGCAUAAUCACUUGUUCUUUAAUUGGGGACUGGAAUGAAAGAACGAUCUGAGACCAAGUCUGUCUCUUUUUUAGGUUAAAAUUUGCUGUUUUUGUGAAGAAGCAAAAAUAAAUAAAAAAGACAAGAAGACCCUAUUAAGCUAUUAUUCUUUUCUUUUUUUAAUUUCUUUAUAAGUAUAGCUAAAAAUAAGUUUGAGAAGAUUUAGUUGGGGCGACUAAAAAGGAUAAAUUUAUCCUCUUUUUUUUGUUUAACGUUAAGUUUUAGUUGGGUCCAAAAUUUUUUGGUUGAAAGAAUUAGUUACUAUAGGGAUAACAGCGUAAUUUUUUCAUAAAGUUCUUAUUGAAGAAAAAAGUUUGCGACCUCGAUGUUGACUUGUUAUCUCCUUCUAAGGUGCAGUAGCUGUAAGGGUUAGUCUGUUCGACUAUUAAAAUAACACGUGAUCUGAGUUCAGACCGGA